UUUUGCUUUUUUGAGCUUCUUCCGAACUCUCCACGGCUUCCAUGGACUUAGUUUUCUCACUAUCCGGAGAGUCCAUCGCUGAUUCCUCAGCAAUUCGAGCCUCCUCCUCCAUCCGCCAACGCUGCAGCUCCACUGCCUGGGCCGUGCUAUACAUUUCCAUCGUUUUCUGUAGCUCAAGCUUUAGCCUCCUCAUUUCAGCUUCAGCAUCGUCCUGCAAUUUUAUGCACGCACCAAUAAGCCAGAACAAUUUAUCAAUACAUUGAUGCUUUGAGUUGGUGCCAAGUCUAUUGCUUCAUUUACCGUGGUGUUGGUGCUAUAGGAUGAUGAUAUUGAUGUUCUUUCACUUUCAAAUGAGGAUUGGGAAGAUAAAUCAUUAAGGGAACUAAUGUCAGAAUCCCUGCCGCCAUAUCGAAAUGACGAACGACCACUUUGGUCUGAGCUGGUGGACAUGCGUGGAGUUCUUCCUGAAUCCAUGCUAUCAUAGGCUGGCAUUCGAUCAGUACUAGGUCUGCCGGAGCUUACAAAUGAUAUAUCAGUAUCAUUGUCACAAACCUCUCCAAUCCUCGAACUCAAAUCUCUUCCCCUACUGUAUGCAGACGACCUGUUACUGUUAUUGACAGAAUCAAAUUCAUCUGGAAUAAAUAUUAAAUCCAUAAA